GCCUCUAGAUUGUUGUCUGCUCCAUCCUGCCAGUAGGGAAGUUACCCACAGUAAACUUCAUAAUUGCACUUUAUGGAGUUGCCGGCUUCAUUUUUCAGUCUCCGAGUUCCUUCUCAGUGUGGAGGAUAUUGUUCGAUAUCUCUGUCUUCCAGUACAUUGUUUUCUUAUAGUUUAGAAGGAUGAUUCUGGCUGUGGUGUUGAGAAGAGACUCCAGCAAGGAUGGAAGUUGAGACAAACGUGGCAGCAGGAAGACCCUCUAAGGAGCUACGGCAAUAGUCCAGGUAAGGAUUGGCAAUGGCUUGGGAGAGCCACCGUAUCAUCUCUGUGUCAAUGGAGAAGGUGAACAAUUAGUCAGACUCUGGAUCUGUCUUGAAGAUGGAGCCAGAAGAAUUUCCUGACAGAUGAUGCAAGGAAGACUCCAAAAUUGGCCUGAGCAAUGGCAAAACUUCUUCUGUCCUUAAGGAACUGAUUUUACUUUUCUUUUCUUGUUCUCCUUGCUGAAUUCCUUCUCCCAGGAAGAAAAGGACCGAGGUCCUCUCACCACCAAACUGAAGCUGAAACCUCAGACACUCAGUUCAUCAUUUGAAUGGUAUCAAGAAUAUGAGAUGGUGUGAGGAUGAUGGGAGAAAGGGCAUCUGUUGCUUGUUUUGGUUCCUCCUGAAUCCACAGUCAGUACUCAGUAGAGUAGCCAUGAUUUUAAUUAUUUUAAGAGGAAGAUUCACAAGGAUGUGCCCACAAAACACUGCCAAUUUGCAGCUGAAAAUGAUAACUGGAUUGAUAUUCCUCUUUGAGAUGCAAGCAGAUGCCUCCACCAACUAUCUCGAACCGGAAUGCCGCAGCCUCCCCUUCGUCCGCAUUUAUCCUUGGCAGGAGCACCGUCUAUUUUGGGAAGGACGAAUCCCUGAGGACACCUGCAAAGGACUGGAAGCUCUUAGCAACUCCUUGACCUGAGAGUGAGGAACCGAGUGGCGGGGAGCCCCAGGACCUGCCCAUCAUCACGUCUCUGCAGUGGCCUUGCCACAACCUGCCCGGCGGGUUCUCCUGGAUUGGGGGAAGGUCUGGACCCGUGUCCCUCGGGGGUUCUCCUAGGUCUCUUAUGGAGGAGGUGGCAGGGCAGGGAAUUGCGCAGGGACUUUCGACUCCAUUUCCAAGGCACAUGCUUUUGUUAAGUGCUAAGACUUCUGUAAGAUAGUCGGAGUGGAAAAUGGAACUCUUAACCCUAGACCCUAAAGUUUAACUCUUUCAUGAUCGCUACAAUGGGCGCUAAAGAGAAGAGAACAGAGGAAACAGUCUGGGCAAAUGUAUCCUGUUUGUUGUUAUGGGGCUUUGGUCUCAAAUCUCUGUGGUUGAGCUGAGCUAGUUUGGAGCAUGUGUCGGCUGUGAGCAUGCCCUUUGCCUGUCUAAAUUCAGGUGGAAGACGAAAAGCCUAAUGAUAAGUUCAAGGUCAAAUAAGUCUAAAUAUGAAUAAGAAGCAAUAAAGCAUAGUCCUAAAGUCAGAUGUGAAAGCGAGAGAAUGUGAUGCUUAUGGAUGAGAAAAGUGAGACAGGCCUUAUGGAAUCUCCAGCUUUCAUGCUGGACUUUGUUUGGUAUAGAACCUUCUCAGCAUGGUGCUAGGAUGCUCCCUUCUCAGGAAAUAGCUCAGACGGGAGAAACCUUGAGCUUCUCCCAGUAGCUGAAAGGUGCCUCAAACAUUCAUUACAGCUUCUUAGACAGAGUUCGCUGAGGAAAGUUGUGUUCCCCGGGGCUGGAAAUUCUAGUAGACUGUAGGUGCUUUCAAACUUUGUGGUUUUUAUUUAUUUUUAUUUUAAAAAUUUUUUUGAAAGAUACUUCUUUUAGGCAUAGAAACUUAUACAGAACUCUAAUAUGUAACUGGUUAAAAUGUAUUCUAUUUGUAUAAAUUUAUUUUAGGAACUCAAAUGCAGUGAAGCUUUGCUACAUGCACUCUUUACUGGAUAACAGUGAGGAGAGUGGGCGGGGAGAUAUCCACUCAGUGAAAAGGAGAUUGCAAACCAAAUUUCCAAAAGAAAUAAAGAGAUCAAAAAUUCAGUAAUAUGGUUCUGAAAAACCAAACUGAACAUGAGUUUACGCCAUGAAGUAGCCUUUAUUCUUUAACAUGGAGUGCUCAACAAGAUAAAUGGGAGAAGGAUUUUCAUUAAAAAGAACAGGAAAUUAUGAAACAAAGGCUGGUAAAAAUGAAAAAAAGUUUAAGAAAAAAAAAAAA
rnacentral:lncRNA from 1 species